GGGGAUUCAGGCUGGAGGCUUUCAGGUACUUCAUUCGCCUUUUCCAGGACCGACCGCAGGGCCCAAUCGCAUGGAGCCCAAUUCGGCUAGUUCAUCCAGCGCAGUCGGUCAUUUUAUUCCCUCCAUGAAAUUCCCGAACCCCUGGUCUGAUCUGGGUGAUUUUUGGAUAUGUUGUUCACCCAGAUCAGGGCUACCAGGGGAUGCAGAAUUUAAAGUGGUACCCCUAGGUUUAGGGGUACAUCCAGAAACGGGGGGGGAAUUGCUGUACUGGAUAAGGGGAUUAUGAUGCCGGCUGAGGGGAGGAGAUGUGUGGGAGGUUACCAG